rnacentral:rRNA from 1 species
GGACUACCGGGGUAUCUAAUCCUAUUCGCUACCUAAGCCUUCGUCCUUCAACGUCAGUUUUUAGAUAAAAGGUUGCUUUCGCUAUUACCAGUCCCUAUAGUAUCAGCGAAUUUUAUCUCUACUCUAUAAGUUCUCCCUUCUUAAAUAAAACUCUAGCAAUACCGUACCUUAUUUUAGGCUAAUAAUGCUGUCUAAGUACCCUUUAAACCUAAUAAAGAUGAAUAACACUAGUCUUUUACGUAUUACCGCGGCUGCUGGCAC